rnacentral:rRNA from 1 species
GACGAACGCUGGCGGCGUGCUUAACACAUGCAAGUCGAACGGAAAGGCCCUGCUUUUGUGGGGUGCUCGAGUGGCGAACGGGUGAGUAACACGUGAGUAACCUGCCCUUGACUUUGGGAUAACUUCAGGAAACUGGGGCUAAUACCGGAUAGGAGCCCCUGCUGCAUGGUGGGGGUUGGAAAGUUUCGGCGGAUGGGGAUGGACUCGCGGCUUAUCAGCUUGUUGGUGGGGCAGUGGCUUACCAAGGCUUUGACGGGUGGCCGGCCUGCAAAGGUGACCGGCCACAUUGAGACUGAGAUACGGCCCAGACUCCUACGGGAGACAGCAGUGGGGAAUAUUGCACAAUGGGCGGAAGCCUGAUGCAGCGACUCCACGUGCGGGAUGACGGCCUUCGGGUUUUAAACCGCUUUCGCCUGUGACGAAGCGUGAGUGACGGUAAUGGGUAAAGAAGCACCGGCUAACUACGUG